AUUGAACGCUGGCGGCAGGCCUAACACAUGCAAGUCGAACGGUAACAGGAAGAAGCUUGCUUCUUUGCUGACGAGUGGCGGACGGGUGAGUAAUGUCUGGGAAACUGCCUGAUGGAGGGGGAUAACUACUGGAAACGGUAGCUAAUACCGCAUAACGUCGCAAGACCAAAGAGGGGGACCUUCGGGCCUCUUGCCAUCGGAUGUGCCCAGAUGGGAUUAGCUAGUAGGUGGGGUAACGGCUCACCUAGGCGACGAUCCCUAGCUGGUCUGAGAGGAUGACCAGCCACACUGGAACUGAGACACGGUCCAGGCUCCUACGGGAGGCAGCAGUGGGGAAUAUUGCACAAUGGGCGCAAGCCUGAUGCAGCCAUGCCGCGUGUAUGAAGAAGGCCUUCGGGUUGUAAAGUACUUUCAGCGGGGAGGAAGGGAGUAAAGUUAAUACCUUGACUCAUUGACGUUACCCGCAGAAGAAGCACCGGCUAACUCCGUG
rnacentral:rRNA from 1 species